GCCCGAGUGGCGGAAUGGCAGACGCGGCGGUCUCAAAAACCGUUGGGGAAACUCGUGCGAGUUCGACUCUCGCCUCGGGCA
rnacentral:tRNA from 1 species